GCUAUGAAAAAGGGAGCCGCCGCCAUGUUUGCUUCUCGUCUACACCAGGCCACUGAGGACCAUGUCCAUGCAACUGACGACGGCUGGGGCUAUCACGUGAGAGAGACUGGAAGUGAGGGUCCCCACAACGCCACCUACACUGUGCGGCCGACUCUCACAGGUCACGUGUUCACCAAGACACGGCACCCGGGCCACCACCCCGUCAAGCAUGCGACGUCAGAUUAU